rnacentral:rRNA from 1 species
CAGCAGCCGCGGUAAUACGUAGGGUGCGAGCGCUGUCCGGAAUUACUGGGCGUAAAGAGCUCGUAGGUGGUUUGUCGCGUUGUUCGUGAAAACUCACAACUCAAUUGUGGGCGUGCGGGCGAUACGGGCAGACUGGAGUACUGCAGGGGAGACUGGAAUUCCUGGUGUAGCGGUGGAAUGCGCAGAUAUCAGGAGGAACACCGGUGGCGAAGGCGGGUCUCUGGGCAGUAACUGACGCUGAGGAGCGAAAGCGUGGGGAGCGAACAGGAUUAGAUACCCUGGUAGUCCACGCCGUAAACGGUGGGUACUAGGUGUGGGUUUCCUUCCUUGGGAUCCGUGCCGUAGCUAACGCAUUAAGUACCCCGCCUGGGGAGUACGGCCGCAAGGCUAAAACUCAAAGGAAUUGACGG